GACGAACCGUGCUAACGUUAUUCGGAAUCACUGGGCUUAAAGCGCGUGUAGGCGGAUGGGGACGUCGGUUGUUGAAAGCCCCCGGCUCAACCGGGGAACUGGCACCGAAACGCCCCGUCUGGAGGGACGUAGGGGGACCUGGAACUUCCGGUGGAGCGGUGAAAUGCGUUGAGAUCGGAAGGAACGCCCGUGGCGAAAGCGAGGUCCUGGACGUCUUCUGACGCUGAGACGCGAAAGCUAGGGGAGCGAACGGG
rnacentral:rRNA from 1 species